ACUUUUGAUCAAUUCAAUGCAUCUUUGCUGGAUACAAAAAAAAAAAAAACCUUAAUGACCCCAAACAUUUGAACAGUGUAUCAGAUAAGAAUAAUACAUGGUUGGACGUGUAAUACAUGAGAGCAAAUCAACUAAUGUUCAUGAACACAGUAUAGUGUCUUCAUGUCAAAACCAAAAGAGUUUGAUUUUCACAUUGAGAGAAAAAAAAAAAGUCUAAUUGGUUAAAUGAAAGCUACUGAAUUUUUUUAUUAUUUUCCUGAAAAUGAAUAAUUAUAAACCACUUAUGCAUAGAGCUAAAAAAAAUUAUCUGAACCAAUUAUCUUGUCCAAUAAAUAUUAUGUAAUAAUUGGCAUGUUUUUAUUGUAUAGCAUAUGAAUCUUGCACAUAUAAUUGUUUAUGUUCUUGGUAUGUUUUAUAUUUGUUUAUACCUACAACGUUGAAAAUAAAAAAAAAGGUUGUUCAUCCUCUUUCUGCUCUUGCUGUAAAUGAGCUCAAAACACAAACUUGUGAAAAGUUUUGAAACUGCUCAAAGUUCACACUCCAGAUGUCUUUAAUACUUUUAUCUUAUCAGUUGGUAACACUUACUUCCAUGUUAUCGGUUUGCUUGGCCAAGUAUCAAUAUUACUCCUGCUUACGCCUUGUGGUUUUGUUCAAAUCACUACUAACAUACGUGCAGCACAGCAACUUUUCCACAAAAUGAAACUCAUGAACAUGCAGUAAAUGCAGUAAAAAAAUUGAUUUCAUGUUUUUGCACAUGUCUUUGAUUGGACAGCCAAAAACUUGUCCUUAUCUAACACAGAGAUGAUUGUACAAGGGAAUCAUGGGAAUCUAAGCAGCCGAAAGUGUCACAGCAGUAAAUCCAGCUGGAUCUCAUCAGAAUCGUGCUCAAGAACAGCGAAGGUCUGACUGGCUUCAGGCUCGUUUGCCUGUUUUCAUUCAUUGUGUCGUGAACACGUGACAUACUGCUACUAUACAACAUCUUUCUUUACAGUUCAUGUGAUACAACAAAAGGUAUUUAUAUGUGUGUGUGUGUGUGUGUGUGUGUGUGUGUGUGUGUGUGUGUGUGUGUGUGUGUGUAUAGCCUAUUUAUAUCGGCCAUCGUUUUUAGAGGAUCCUAUUUCUAUCUACACCAGAAAAACAAAAUGUCUCUUGCAUGUAUGCCGAAAACUCAAGCAAAUGCUAGAUUUCUCCAUGAAUAUUUACAUGACGUUAUUGUUGACACACAUCGAGUGACCGACAAGAACGAAUUGACAAAAUUGAAGUGAAAAUGCAAAAAUGCAAAUGUUAACUCCUUACGAAAAUUAACUAUGGUUUUACUACAAUUAAAAAGGUAGUUAGCCUACUAAAAAAAAAAAAAAAAAAA